AGAGUUUGAUCCUGGCUCAGAUUGAACGCUGGCGGCAUGCUUUACACAUGCAAGUCGAACGGCAGCACGGGUGCUUGCACCUGGUGGCGAGUGGCGAACGGGUGAGUAAUGCACCGGAACGUACCCAGUAAUGGGGGAUAACACAUCGAAAGAUGUGCUAAUACCGCAUACGCCCUGAGGGGGAAAGCGGGGGAUCGUAAGACCUCGCGUUAUUGGAGCGGCCGAUGCCGGAUUAGCUAGUUGGUGAGGUAAGAGCUCACCAAGGCGACGAUCCGUAGCUGGUCUGAGAGGACGACCAGCCACACUGGGACUGAGACACGGCCCAGACUCCUACGGGAGGCAGCAGUGGGGAAUUUUGGACAAUGGGCGCAGGCCUGAUCCAGCCAUGCCGCGUGAGUGAAGAAGGCCUUCGGGUUGUAAAGCUCUUUCGCAAGGAAAGAAAACUUAUCU
rnacentral:rRNA from 1 species